AGCGAACGCUGGCGGCGUGCCUAACACAUGCAAGUCGAACGUGAAAGGGAGCAAUCCCAAGUAAAGUGGCGUACGGGUGAGUAACACGUAGGUAAUCUACCCCAGAAUCUGGAAUAACCGGCCGAAAGGCUGGCUAAUACUGGAUAGAGCGACGGAAUCCGUAAUUGGGUUUUUCGGGAAAGGGAGCCUGUAAAAAGGCCUUCGUUCUGGGAUGAGCCUGCGUCCCAUCAGCUAGUUGGUGAGGUAAAAGCUUACCAAGGCAAUGACGGGUAGCUGGUCUGAGAGGACGAUCAGCCACACUGGAACUGAAACACGGGCCAGACUCCUACGGGAGGCAGCAGUGGGGAAUCUUGCGCAAUGGACGAAAGUCUGACGCAGCAACGCCGCGUGAGUGAAGAAGGCCUUCGGGUUGUAAAGCUCUGUCGAGUGGGACGAAAAUGCUUGGAGUUCACAGCUCCAGGAACUGACGGUACCACUAAAGGAAGCACCGGCUAACUCCGUG
rnacentral:rRNA from 1 species